GAGCGAACGCUGGCGGCAGGCUUAACACAUGCAAGUCGAACGGGCGUAGCAAUACGUCAGUGGCAGACGGGUGAGUAACACGUGGGAACGUACCUUUUGGUUCGGAACAACUGAGGGAAACUUCAGCUAAUACCGGAUAAGCCCUUACGGGGAAAGAUUUAUCGCCGAAAGAUCGGCCCGCGUCUGAUUAGCUAGUUGGUGAGGUAAUGGCUCACCAAGGCGACGAUCAGUAGCUGGUCUGAGAGGAUGAUCAGCCACAUUGGGACUGAGACACGGCCCAAACUCCUACGGGAGGCAGCAGUGGGGAAUAUUGGACAAUGGGCGCAAGCCUGAUCCAGCCAUGCCGCGUGAGUGAUGAAGGCCCUAGGGUUGUAAAGCUCUUUUGUGCGGGAAGAUAAUGACGGUACCGCAAGAAUAAGCCCCGGCUAACUUCGUGCCAGCAGCCGCGGUAAUACGAAGGGGGCUAGCGUUGCUCGGAAUCACUGGGCGUAAAGGGUGCGUAGGCGGGUUUCUAAGUCAGAGGUGAAAGCCUGGAGCUCAACUCCAGAACUGCCUUUGAUACUGGAAGUCUUGAGUAUGGGAGAGGUGAGUGGAACUGCGAGUGUAGAGGUGAAAUUCGUAGAUAUUCGCAAGAACACCAGUGGCGAAGGCGGCUCACUGGCCCAUAACUGACGCUGAGGCACGAAAGCGUGGGGAGCAAACAGG
rnacentral:rRNA from 1 species